GGUGUUAUCACAAAUGGUGCUCUAGUUUUAAAUUGCAUGAGGUUGGCACUUGAGUUUGUCUAUUCAGAAAUUCCUUUUAUAAAAAUGGUGGCACGCUUAUGCCUGCCUACCUACUGCCAUGCAUGUAUCCACGGCAAGUGGAUAUAAAUGGCUUUUGGUAAAAGGAUUGGAUAUGAAUGGAAGCAGUUUUUAAUGAUUACAUUUGUCACUGACCUUUGAUCUUGUUACACACUGCACCUUUUGUAAAGUUCUUUUCCUUGUACAAUGUCAGCUGGCUUUGUGGCUUCUCUGGUAAAAUGCAGUAACUACUGCUAUAAACUUAGGAUUUGGAGACAUUCCUAAACAUCCCUUAAUUUGAAUAGUAAAAUGGGUGCAUAUGGCUUGCCAUAGAUUUCUUUAAAAACGAGUGAGGAAAAACUAACAUUCAUUUGACAACAGGAUUUCUAUCUAAAGUGGUCAGUGCCGCAUAAUGCAUCUAAAAGUUAAACUUUGAUUAAAAUAUGGCUUUAAAAGAUCUAGCGAAACAGAUUCCAAUUAUUUAAACCCAAUUUAACUUGAAUACAAAUUCAGUUUUAAUGCAGCAUUUUAAAUCUGAUAAAGGUGAGAUCACACAAGCAUGUAUUCUGCCUGUGAGCAUGUUAAAAUCUGACAUUCUCCAACCCUUUUGACCCAGUAACAUUGAGAAUAAGACAUGGGGACGUGAAGUCAGUUACCUUUCAGAAGGGGUUGUGAAGGUAAGAGAACUGGAUCCCGUAUCACAGCAAGAAUAUUAAAGAUGAGUAAAUGUUUCCUUCCAGUUUAUGUAGCUUUUGUUGAAAGCCAGACACAUAAUGACACUUGGCCUAGAAUAGGUGAAUUCUAGGUUUAUUUAGAGUCUAAACCAGAUUCUUCCGAUUGUUUACACCAAAACCACAAAACACAUAUUUACUUUUGUUAUGAAGCCACUUGUGGUGCCCUUACUCUUUCAUUAUCCUCCAAGAAUUUUUAGCACUCUAAUUUCAGUUUAUCUUUGGGCGUUAAAUGAUUCAGCUUUGGUUAGUGAAGAAGAGUUAGUGUCUUUUGUACAUUUCAUGAAACAAAUUAUGGAUUGUGUCAGCACCCAUAGUCAUAUAAAAACCUGCCCAGCUCAGAUGUUCUGUUAUUCGUUCAAGACACAGAAGAAGUGAACCAAUAUUUGCUUUUGGCAGAAGUGGGACAUUUUAUGAGAAACCUGGUGUGUUCCUACCGUGAGAAAACACUGUCAAGGAAAGACCACAAUGGCUGUUCUGUGGUUCACACUUUGUGCUGUGUUAAUAGUGACAGUAGUGACAUCUACACCACUCUGCCUAAAUGUGGGUGAGGAUUCAUUCAAAUCUUCAGAGUCCAGGGAAUCCACUGAGUCCAGCUCAAUGGAGGAGACUGCCGCUCGCUCUGGGCCUCCGCAGCCAGCAGUUACCGACAUGCCUAAUACUGUGACGCCUGAUCGGCUGAACGCUUCACUCCUUCCCUCAGCAGUUGCAAGACCUUCUUCAGCAACACUCAAUACGUCCUCUCUG